UGCCAGACUCCUACGGGAGGCAGCAGUGAGGAAUAUUGGUCAAUGGACGAGAGUCUGAACCAGCCAAGUAGCGUGAAGGAUGACUGCCCUAUGGGUUGUAAACUUCUUUUAUAUGGGAAUAAAACAGGGUAUGCAUACCCUCUUGUAUGUACCAUAUGAAUAAGGAUCGGCUAACUCCGUGCCAGCAGCCGCGGUAAUACGGAGGAUCCGAGCGUUAUCCGGAUUUAUUGGGUUUAAAGGGAGCGUAGAUGGGUUGUUAAGUCAGUUGUGAAAGUUUGCGGCUCAACCGUAAAAUUGCAAUUGAUACUGGCAGUCUUGAGUACAGGUGAGGUAGGCGGAAUUCGUGGUGUAGCGGUGAAAUGCGUAGAUAUUAGGAGGAACACCAGUGGCGAAGGCGGCUUACUGGACUGUAACUGACGUUGAGGCUCGAAAGCGUGGGGAGCAAACAGGAUUAGAUACCCUCGUAC
rnacentral:rRNA from 1 species